GGAGCUCGUAAUGGCAACCGCUGGAUUUAUUCAGAGGAAAGUCCGGGCAGUAUAGAGCACGGUAGUCGCUAACGGCGACCGUCCGAAAGGAUAGGGAAAGUACCACAGAAACUUAAACUACCAGGGGCUCCAAGUCCUUGGAAAAGGUGAAAAGAGUGGGGUAAGAGCCCACAGUAGAGUAUAGUGAUAUAUUCUAGAGGCAAACCCUACCGACUGCAAGGAGUACUAGAUACCCCUGCUCGGGGAUGUACGAUCACCGCUUGAACCUUAGAGCAAUCUAAGGUCUAGAUAGAUGGUUGCCCGCCUGUUUGCAGGUGACAGAACCCGGCUUAAUACGAGCGCUUGCA
rnacentral:RNase_P_RNA from 1 species